GGUGCAUGGUUGUCGUCAGCUCGUGUCGUGAGAUGUUGGGUUAAGUCCCGCAACGAGCGCAACCCUCGACCUUAGUUGCCAGCAUUCAGUUGGGCACUCUAAGGUGACUGCCGGCUAAAAGUCGGAGGAAGGUGGGGAUGACGUCAAAUCAUCAUGCCCCUUAUGACCUGGGCUACACACGUGCUACAAUGGGCGGUACAAAGGGUCGCGAACCCGCGAGGGGGAGCGAAUCCCAAAAAGCCGCUCUCAGUUCGGAUUGCAGGCUGCAACUCGCCUGCAUGAAGCCGGAAUCGCUAGUAAUCGCGGAUCAGCAUGCCGCGGUCGAAUACGUUCCCGGGCCUU
rnacentral:rRNA from 1 species